CUUUACUAAUUUAGUUUUUAUAUAAUCUAAAUUAUUAACACAUUAAUUUAAUUAUUAUAAUUUAUUCAUUAAACAUCAAUUAUUUAUGAUUUUAUUACCAUUUUACUCCUUAUCAAUUUAAUUUAUAUUAAAAACUAGUUAUAUUAAUUAUUAUAAAAUUUAAGAAAAAAUUUAAGAGAAAAAAAUAAUUUUACAAUUCAAUUUUUUUUUUAAUUUUAGUUAUUUUUAACGAAUUUUUAAAUAAUAUGAAAAUAUUAAAAAAAUCUAUAUUUUUUGUAAUACCUGUAAUUGUUUUUUAAAAUUUAAUU
rnacentral:lncRNA from 1 species